rnacentral:tRNA from 1 species
GCUGGGGUGGCCGAGUCAGGACCAAGGCGGUAGCCUCGAGAGCUACUGGGCUUUAUGUCCGCGCAGGUUCAAAUCCUGCCCCCAGCG